rnacentral:rRNA from 1 species
UACGUAGGGUGCGAGCGUUGUCCGGAAUUAUUGGGCGUAAAGAGCUUGUAGGCGGUCUGUCGCGUCUGCUGUGAAAAUCCGGGGCUCAACCCCGGGCUUGCAGUGGGUACGGGCAGACUAGAGUGUGGUAGGGGAGACUGGAAUUCCUGGUGUAGCGGUGAAAUGCGCAGAUAUCAGGAGGAACACCGAUGGCGAAGGCAGGUCUCUGGGCCACUACUGACGCUGAGAAGCGAAAGCAUGGGAGCGAACAGG